GAAUAUGAGAGAGAACCAAAUCACAAUAAAUCUUUAGCUGCAGGUGUGUGGGGCCUACACACCCAAACACACACAUACCCAACCAAAAAAAUCUCCCAAGCUCCUCUCUUAGAAUAUCCUCCGAAUCCUAAAUCUAGAGCUCCAAGGAUGCUGGUCAUUAAGAAAGGUAAUACCAAAGACUGACAGCUGUCUGGAUUCCCAGUAGUAGGAAAUCUUCAGUCACAGCCAGUUAAGAAUGGAACUGGUCCAAGUGUUUAUAAAGGUUUAGUCCCUAAACCUGCUGCUACACCUACAAAACUUACACAAUGGAAAAGCCAAACAAAAGAAAAUAAAGUUGGAACUUCUUUCCCUCAUAAGUCUACAUAUGGUAUUGGCUACUUUAAUGCUUUUAAAUCAACUGCCAAGAAUUUUAGUCCAUCAACAAAUUCAGUGAAAGAGUUUAAUCAUUCAAAUUCCUCUUCCUCUGUUGAUAAACUUAAUCAGCAGCCUUGUCUAACCAAACUGACAUGAAUGCAUACUGAUAAGAAGAGUGAAUUUUUGAAAGCAAUAAGAGACAGAGUAGAAGAGGAACAUGAAGAUGAAGGCCGUGCUGGCUCAGAGGGAUGACGACUCAUGUAAUUUACAUAACAGCAAUAGUACUCACCAAGAAAGGGAUAUAAACCAACACUUCAAUGAAAAUGAAAUUUCUCAAGAGAAUGGCAAUGCCUCAGUGAUUUCCCAACAGAUCAUUCAAUCUUCAACCUUCCCACAAACUGAUGUUCUUUCAAGUUUGCUUGAGGCAGAACACAGAUUGUUAAAGGAAAUGGGCUGGCAGGAAGACAGUGAAAAUGAUGAAACAUGUGCUCCCUUAACUAAGGAUGAAAUGAGAGAAUUCCAAGUUAUUAGUGAACAGUUACAGAAGAAUGGUCUUAGAAAAAAUGGCAUUUUGAAAAAUGGCCUGAUCUGUGACUUCAAGUUAGGACCCUGGAAGAACAGCAUUUUCAAACCCACAGUUGAGAAUGAUGACACAGAAACAAGUAGCAGUGACACAUCAGAUGACGACAAUGUGUGAAAGAUUUCCUAACAGCUUUAGAAAUAUUAGUGUGAUACAUUUCUCAUACAGCGUGGGGUGAAUUGUAAAAAUGAAGAACUAUCAUUUAUGUAAUGAAAUACCCCAUUAGAAGAGGAUUUUUUGGGGGACUUCAAUAUGAGGAAAACCAAGAAUGUUUUGUUGGGCUGUGUUGAACAUUAUUUCUUUGUAAAUGAAUGUUGUAGGAAUGAGGACUUUGGUCAGUUCAGCACUGACUUUCUGCAUCACUGCAGCAUUUCUCUGACUAGCAAUGUGAUGAUAUAACACAUGAGAUUUUCUCAUUUAAUAAUAAGAAAUUGUGUAAUGUUUUGCAAAGCUUCUGUCUUAAAAUGUCCAGGUCUUAAGAAAAAAGGCAGCUUACACUGUUUUGCUUGCAGAGUCUUACCUUUUGCGCACAAUGGAAAUCCUCAAGUCUACUUUGUGCGGUCCCCUCUCCUCCCCUCCCAGAAAAACAAAAAACCAAAAAGGAAAAUGUAGCAUGUGGGCUAAAACUGGAGCAAAGUGCACUAAAACAAUUUCCUGAACUCAGCUAUUGUACUAUUCACCUUUUAAAACAUAAUGCUCUUUAGCCAUUUGUAGUCCAGUAAAUGUUAUAGGAAAGACUUGUCACAUUUUCUUCCAAAUUUUAAGAGGUGAUUUUCAAAAGCUGUAUUUGGGUAUGUUGUCAGACCAGGGUUUUCAGAGUUGAUGAUGGAAAAGAGGCUUGUGGGAAAACUUAAAUUUGAUAAAUUAUUACACAUGCAGAAAAACUGAUCAUACUGACUGGAUCUGUCCAUGACAUGGAAAAUAAACUGGAUUUUCAGA